UGCCAGACUCCUACGGGAGGCAGCAGUGGGGAAUAUUGCACAAUGGGGGAAACCCUGAUGCAGCGACGCCGCGUGAGUGAAGAAGUAAUUCGUUAUGUAAAGCCCUGUCAGCAGGGAAGAAAAUGACGGUACCUGACUAAGAAGCCCCGGCUAACUACGUGCCAGCAGCCGCGGUAAUACGUAGGGGGCAAGCGUUAUCCGGAUUUACUGGGUGUAAAGGGAGCGUAGACGGCAAUGCAAGCCAGAUGUGAAAGCCCGGGGCUCAACCCCGGGACUGCAUUUGGAACUGUGUAGCUGGAGUGUCGGAGAGGCAGGCGGAAUUCCUAGUGUAGCGGUGAAAUGCGUAGAUAUUAGGAGGAACACCAGUGGCGAAGGCGGCCUGCUGGACGAUGACUGACGUUGAGGCUCGAAAGCGUGGGGAGCAAACAGGAUUAGAUACCCGGGUAA
rnacentral:rRNA from 1 species